GUGCACAUUUCAUUGUCUUUUUUCUUUAUGUCAGGAGAAAAGAUAUUUCUGAUGUGCUAAAUAAACAUGUGGAGGUAAAUUAGCAGCAUGACUAAUUUAGUCAUUGCUGUCAGUCACCUUCAGACAACA
ensembl:snoRNA